rnacentral:rRNA from 1 species
UCGGGAAUUUUGGGCAAUGGGCGAAAGCCUGACCCAGCAACGCCGCGUGAGGGAUGAAGUAUUUCGGUAUGUAAACCUCGAAAGAAUGGGAAGAAUAAAUGACGGUACCAUUUAUAAGCUCCGGCUAACUACGUGCCAGCAGCCGCGGUAAUACGUAGGGAGCAAGCGUUGUUCGGAUUUACUGGGCGUAAAGGGCGCGUAGGCGGCGCGGUAAGUCACUUGUGAAAUCUCUGAGCUUAACUCAGAACGGCCAAGUGAUACUGCUGUGCUAGAGUGCGGAAGAGGCAACCGGAAUUCUUGGUGUAGCGGUGAAAUGCGUAGGUAUCAAGAGGAACACCUGAGGCGAGGGCGGGUUGCUGGGCCGACACUGACGCUGAUGCGCGAAAGCCAGGGGAGCAAACG